rnacentral:lncRNA from 1 species
CCCUCUAUGGGGUCACUAUGGGGCUGGGGGGGGUGUUAGGGACUGGGGGGAUGCAUUAGGGACCCCUCCCCUCAAUGGGGUUAAUAUGGGGCGGGACCCCCCCCCAUAUCCCAUAUAAGCCCCCCCAUAUCCCAUAUAAGCCCUCAAUGGGGUCAUUGUGGGGCAGGACCCCCCCCAUAUCCCAUAUAAGCCCCCAAUGGGGUUAAUAUGGGGCGGGACCCCCCCAUAUCCCAUAUAAGCCCCUAUAUCCCAUAUAAUCCCUCUAUGGGGUCACUAUGGGGCUGGGGGGGGUAUUAGGGACCGAGGGGGUGCAUUAGGGACCCCUCCCCAUAUAAGCUCUCAAUGGGGUCAGUGUGGGGUGGGAUCCCCCCCAUAUCCCAUAUAAGCCCCCCCAUACCCCAUAUAAGCCCCCCCAUAUCCCAUAUAACCCCCCAUAUCCCAUAUAACCCCCAUAUCCCAUAUAAUCCCCCAUAUCCCAUAUAAUCCCCCUAUGGGGUCACUGUGGGGUGGGACCCCCCCCAUAUCCCAUAUAAGCCCCCAAUGGGGUUAAUAUGGGGCGGGACCCCCCCGAUAUCCCAUAUAAACCCAUUGGGACCCCCCCAUAUCCCAUAUAAGCCCCCUCAUAUCCCAUAUAAGCCCUCUAUGGGGUCAGUGGGGGGGUCCGGCCCCAUAUAAGCCCCCAAUGGGGUUAAUGUGGGGUGGGACCCCCCCAUAUCCCAUAUAACCCCCCAUAUCCCAUAUAACCCCCCAUAUCCCAUAUAACCCCCCAUAUCCCAUAUAACCCCCCUAUGGGCCAGGAUCACCUGAUCUGCACACACAGAAAUUCUGGAAAUGUGGAUCACCGUCAUGGGACAUAUAGGGGUCAGUUUAUAUAGGGGAGUAUAGGGUCUGUAAUGGGGUAUGGGGUGUAUGGGGUCAGUUAUAGGGCCGCCAUGGUGCAGAUCAACCAGUACCUCACCGUCAUGGGACAUAUAGGGUCAGUUAUAGGGUCCUGUAAAUGGGGUCAGUAUGUGUGUAUGAGGGUGUAUGGGGUCAGUUAUAGAGUGUAUGGGGUAUAUGGGGUUGCCAGUUAUAGGGUAUGGGGGGUAUGGGGUGUAUGAGGUCAGUUAUAGGGUAUAUGGGGUGUAUGGGGUGUAUGGGGGGUCAAGGUUUAUAGGGUAUUAUGGGGUGUAAUGGGGUGUGAUGGGGUCAGUUAUAGGGUAAUAUGGGGUGUUAUGGGGUGUUAAUAAGGGUAUAUGGGGUUGUAAUGGGGUCAGAGUUAUAGGGUAUAUGGGGUGUUAUUGGGUCAGUUAGUAGGGUAUAUGGGGUGUUAAUGGGGUGUUAUAGGUAAUAAUGGGGUGUAUGGGUUGUUAUAGGGUGUAAUGGGGUGUAUGGGUCGGUAAUAGGGCCACCAUGGUGCAGAUCAACCAGUACCUGACUGUCAUGGGACAUAUAGGGUAUGGGUAUAGGGUAUAUGGGGUCAGUUAUAGGAUAUGGGGUGUAUGGGGUCGGUAAUAGGGUAUUGGGGGCAUCAAUGGGGACCGCCAUGCUGCAGAUCAACCAUACCUGACGGCAUCAUGGACUAGUAUAGGGUAUUGGGGUCUUAUAGGGUUCAGUAAUGGGUCGUAAUAGGGUCAGUGAUGGGGUUGGGGUCAGGAAUAGGGUCAGUUGAUGGGGUUGGGGUUCAGUAUAUAGGGUCAGUGAUGGGGUUGCGGAUCAGUAAAUAGGGUCAGUGAUGGGGUUGUGGGUCCCCAUUGGGGUUUGGGUUCAAUGUUUGGGGUCAGUAAUAGGGUUGGGGUUGAAGGUUUGGGGUCCCAGCCUGGAAAAACCCCAUUAGCUUUACGGAUCAACCUUUAUGGGGUCCUAAUGGGAUCCAUAGGGGGGGGGGGGGGUCCCCUGAUAUGGGGGGCUGGGCUCAACUAUGGGAAUCCAUAAAGCCUUAAUUGAUUAGGAAUCAAUAACACCAUUAAUUAUUAGGAUUAUCAUUAAUUAUUAGGAUUAAUCGAUCAUUAAUUAUAUCCCCCCAGCUCCCCCGUCCCACCCCCAACCCCCCCCAUGACCCCCCCCCUCCAUCAGCCCCCACAGACGGCCAGCAACUUCGCCUCCCCAGCGUACGGUUAA